AGGACGAACGCUGGCGGCGUGCUUAACACAUGCAAGUCGAGCGGAAAGGCCCUUCGGGGUACUCGAGCGGCGAACGGGUGAGUAACACGUGAGUAAUCUGCCCCUAGCUCUGGGAUAGCUCCGGGAAACCGGGAUUAAUACCGGAUACGACCACCUUAGACAUCUUUUGUGGUGGAAAGAAUUUCGGCUAGGGAUGAGCUCGCGGCCUAUCAGCUUGUUGGUGGGGUAACGGCCUACCAAGGCGACGACGGGUAGCCGGCCUGAGAGGGCGACCGGCCACACUGGGACUGAGACACGGCCCAGACUCCUACGGGAGGCAGCAGUGGGGAAUAUUGCGCAAUGGGCGAAAGCCUGACGCAGCGACGCCGCGUGGGGGAUGAAGGCCUUCGGGUUGUAACCCCUUUCAGCAGGGACGAAGCGAAGUGACGGUACCUGCAGAAGAAGCGCCGGCUAACUACGUGCCAGCAGCCGC
rnacentral:rRNA from 1 species